AAACAAACUGUAUAUGGAUACAACUACUUUGUCAAGGUCCAUGUUGGUGGCAACAAACAUCUGGAGCUCUUUUUGUAUGUAAUGCCUUCCCCCAACAGUCGGCCCGACCUCCGCGGGGUUAAGGAUUUCACAGAUGACCAGAUCUCUGACUUGCGGCAGGAAAUCAGACGGCCUGUUCGUCCACGUGGGCCUGUUUUAGGAGGCAUCGGAAGGCCCCAACGUGCAGACCCAGGGGUGCAGGCCAUCUGUGACUCUGUGAAGAGAGAUGUGGAGGAGAAGAGAGGAGAGAAAUAUGAGACUUUUGAA